GCACAAGCGGCGGAGCAUGUGGAUUAAUUCGAUGCAACGCGAAGAACCUUACCUGGGCUUGACAUACACUGGAUCGGGCUAGAGAUAGUCUUUCCCUUUGUGGCUGGUGUACAGGUGGUGCAUGGUUGUCGUCAGCUCGUGUCGUGAGAUGUUGGGUUAAGUCCCGCAACGAGCGCAACCCUUGUCUUAUGUUGCCAGCAUUUGGUUGGGGACUCAUGAGAGACUGCCGGGGUGAACUCGGAGGAAGGUGGGGAUGACGUCAAAUCAUCAUGCCCCUUAUGUCCAGGGCUUCACACAUGCUACAAUGGUCGGUACAACGCGUGUGCGAUCCUGUGAGGGUGUGCUAAUCGCUGAAAGCCGGUCGUAGUUCGGAUUGGGGUCUGCAACUCGACCCCAUGAAGUCGGAGUCGCUAGUAAUCGCAGAUCAGCAACGCUGCGGUGAAUACGUUCCCGG
rnacentral:rRNA from 1 species